AAGAGAAAACGCUAUAUUAAGACCAUGCAUGUGUCCCCAGACCUAGUUCUUUCCCUAGGUCUGGUUUUCUAAAUGCUGGUGAUAAAA